rnacentral:rRNA from 1 species
UACGUAGGGACCAAGCGUUGUUCGGAUUUACUGGGCGUAAAGGGCGCGUAGGCGGCUUGACAAGUCACUUGUGAAAUCUCCGGGCUUAACUCGGAAUGGCCAAGUGAAACUGUCAUGCUAGAGUGCAGAAGGGGCAAUCGGAAUUCUUGGUGUAGCGGUGAAAUGCGUAGAUAUCAAGAGGAACACCUGAGGUGAAGACGGGUUGCUGGGCUGACACUGACGCUGAGGCGCGAAAGCGUGGGGAGCAAACAGG